AGCGAACGCUGGCGGCAGGCUUAACACAUGCAAGUCGAACGCGUGUAGCAAUACACGAGUGGCGCACGGGUGAGUAACGCGUGGGCAUCUGCCUCAUGGUUCGGAAUAACCCCGGGAAACUGGGGCUAAUACCGGAUGGUACCUUCGGGUUAAAGAUUUAUCGCCAUGAGAUGAGCCCGCGUCCGAUUAGCUAGUUGGUGAGGUAACGGCUCACCAAGGCGACGAUCGGUAGCUGGUCUGAGAGGACGAUCAGCCACACUGGGACUGAGA
rnacentral:rRNA from 1 species